GAGAAAGAGAGAGAGCGAGAGAGAGAUUGACGCAACUUAAGCAGUCAGGGCUGGAAAAACCAAGAUGCAUUACCUUCUUUUACUACUAAACUAGUCCACCCCACCUCUGGCAUUCUGGCUGUAUUUGUGGCACUGAACUACUGUGACGUUGUGCACGUGGCUGGAUUCGGAUAUCCAGAGUCCAGGAACCAGAAACAGCCCAUCCACUAUUACGGAAAGGAGACAAUGAAAUCCAUGAAGAAUUCCUACCAUGAUCUCAAUCAAGAGGCUCUCGUGCUUAAGAGACUUGAAGACCAGGGAGCUAUUUUAUAUCUUCAUCCUCAUUCCUGACACCCAACAUGAACACAUGUA